ensembl:lncRNA
AGAAGAAAGAAGUGCAAUCAGUUAUUUACUAUCCCAGUUAGUAUGCGGCAGUUGAAAGUUUAAUGCACAGUCCCUUCAUCUAUUUGGGCUUUACUGAGACACCUGCACUGACUUCAGCAUCAGGAAGAAGAGACCAAAGUAUGCUCGUUCACCUCCUGUCUACCGUGUGUCCGUCCGGAAGCCAGCCUGCCCCUGAGGACUCUGCUCGGCCAGGGUUGAAAGCUGUGUCAAGGUAGCGUCUCCCCUGCAGGGAGGGCCACCCAGCGUAUCGUCCUCCCCUACUCCUAUCUGGACCCUCAGUCUCACGGCCAAACCAUGAACCAGAAGGACCCAGUUUCUGGCACAGGGGAAGGACUGGGAAUUGGAUGAGAAAACAGUCAUUCAUCUCUGCAUUUAAUUCUGUUCUCUCCAGCUACCAGAAUAAUAAGCCAUAUGCUGUACUAUAUUCCUGGCUAAUAACCAGCAAGGAGGAAAUGAGCACAUUUAUGAAUUAUCCCGUUGAUGUUCCUCAAUGUGCAAAUCCAAGUGUUAUUUUAAGUAAUUUCCCUGCCAAAGUAAUUAUUUCCCACCACUGCUGUCUCAUUUGGAAAAUAACCUUAGAGAUUAUCUUCUUUCUAUUACAUGUACAUCUUUACAUUGUAAAGCUCCUUUCAACCUACAAAGUUUAAUUUUGUGUUGGCCACUGGCUUACAAGAAUCAAUGAGGCACUAGCUAGAUAAAAAAUACUUGCUUGCCUGUAUGCAGCAAAAACAGGAAUGCAAUGACUACCAAAGUCUGUUUGGAGAGUCAACAUCUUUGUAAACACAUCAAAUAACCAUUGUGACAUGAAAUUAAAGCACAUUCGGGUAUGUUGCUAAAAAGACAAUCUUUAUUUUAGAAGUCAAUGAUAAAUCUUCGCAAACACAAUAAGAUGAAACAGAACACCCUCAUAAACAAACAAGUAUAAAAAUCAGAAGCUACCCAAAAACUUGAAUUUACUUUUUAUACUUCAGCAUCUUCAGAUUUGGGGCAUUUGUCUUCAGAUUUCGUACAUUUGUCUUCUGCACGACCAUGGCCCAGUGUGGUCCGUUUUCCAUGGGCUCUUAAGUUAUGCUGUCUUUGUUACCAUAUUUUGUGAACGUGUGAAACCUAGGGAAACUGCUCAUCGCUGGAGAUGCCCAAGCUGUUCCCCAGCCUUCCCGCUGAACUUGAAGACAUCACUGUAUAACAUUGGAAACAAAAAACGUAAACUCAAGCCAUCAGGGGCAGGAAGAUGCCAGCUAAAAGAAGCAGGCCGGCUGUGUCUGAGGUCUUUUCAACUCUUGUGAAACUGUAACAAGAGCGAUGUAUCUAAUUUUGAGCCUUACAGAUGUGAGAAGAGGAUCCAAAAAUAAAAAGCUUUCCACUCCUACCCUCUCCCUAAAUGUAACAAAUAAACCAGUUUCUGGUUGGCUUGCAAAUUCAAGCCUCUUCUGAUUCUUCACCCUCUUUCCUAACGUUGCCUCAGGACCUGCCCGCCUGACCCCCGGGAAGCCUGAGAAGCCAGCACACCAGCCGCCUGGUCCCUGUGCCCACGGCGCGCCAUCCACAUCCACCAUCAUUCAACCACAUUUGCUUGAAAUCAGUUUUCCCUCAAAUAUAAACAAAACACAUUCUCUGUGUCAGGUGCCAUUUAAGUGGAGAAGGUAAAAAUGAAUAAAACUCCACCCUGGAACUGCAUGCCUUUGCUCACACUCAUUGAUCCUGGCAUGUCCUCCACUGCCUGAACAAGAUAAAUUCCAGACAUCUGCUGUAUACCCACUGUCUGUGCUUCACUAUAUAGUAUCUCUCUUCCAUCACUUCAGUUGUGCCCGACUCUGUGUUACCCCAUAGACGGCAGCCCACCAGGCUCCCCCAUCCCUGGGAUUCUCCAGGCAAGAACACUGGAGUGGGUUGCCAUUUCCUUCUCCAAUGCAGGAAAGUGAAAAGUGAAAGUGAAGUCACUCAAUGUGUCUGAUUCCUAGCGACCCCAUGGACUGCAGCCUACCAGGCUCCUCCAUCCAUGGGAUUCUCCAGGCAAGAGUACUGGAGUGGGGUGCCAUUGCCUUAUGCACCCAAUAUGUGUCCAGAGGGCAAAUCUCGUGUUUUUAUAGAGUUCUUAUAACCUACACACACACCAUCACAAAAGGACUCAAGGAAACCUUUGAAGGUGAUAAUAUGUUUCUUUCUCUGAUUGUAAUAAUGGCAGGCAAGGAAAUCAAACCAGUCCAUCCUAAAGGGAAUCGACCCUGAAUAUUCAUUGGAAGGACUGGUGCUGAAGCUGAAGCGCCAAUACUUUGGCCACCUGAUACAAAGAGCUGACUCUUUGGAAAAGAGCCUGAUGCUGGUAAUGAUUAAAGCCAGGAGGAGAAGGGGAUGACAGAGGAUGAGAUGGUUGGAUGGCAUCACCAACUCAAUGGACAUGAGUUUGAGUAAGCUCCGGGAGUUGAUGAUGGACAGGGAGGCCUGGCACGCUGUAGUCCAUGGCACCGCAAAGAUUCAGACGCAACUUAGUGACUGAACAACAACAAUGAUGAUAACACAAGUGUAUCUAUCUGUCCACACUCUACAAAUUAAACACAUUAAUGAUGUGCUGGGGUUUUGUAUGCCCAUCACACCUCAUCAAAGCCUAGGUAAAAUAAAGUAAAGAGAAUGAACAGAGAGCUACGUCUUGCUGAGAUUCUGGGCUGGGGAAGAAACGAAGGCCAUUGGCACUGAAAACUCUGAAGUUCCAACCGGAAGGGUCCAAACUCCUGAGCCCAGAACCUAGAGUGAAAUGGGAGGCCGUGUGCGGGAUGAGAUGGAAAGACAAAAGCUUUAGCAACAAUGAAAACUGUAUAAACAUUGUUCUACAGGCAAAGUCUUCAUUUUCCAUAUUUUAUUCUUCUCUCCAAAACAGGUCCUACUUACUUAAGCUGCUUUGUGCUCAGAGGAGAAAGACCUUGAUAAGCAUAACCAGAAAAAGGAAAAGCUAAAAUCCACUGUUUUACAGGGGGAAAAAAGUAAAAUAAAAGAGGUGGGAUGGAGAGGAGGAAAAAUGAUAUUUGUAUUCAAACCAAAUGAUAAUAAAAUUACAAUAUGAGGG